rnacentral:rRNA from 1 species
UACGAAGGGGGCUAGCGUUGUUCGGAAUUGCUGGGCGUAAAGCGCGCGCAGGCGGUUUUUCAAGUCAGUGGUGAAAGCCCGGAGCUCAACUCCGGAACUGCCAUUGAAACUGUAAAACUUGAGGACGAGAGAGGUGAGUGGAAUUCCCAGUGUAGAGGUGAAAUUCGUAGAUAUUGGGAAGAACACCGGUGGCGAAGGCGGCUCACUGGCUCGUAUCUGACGCUCAGGCGCGACAGCGUGGGGAUCAAACAGG